GCCCAUAUAGCUCAGAUGGUAGAGCGUCACCUUGGUAAGGUGGAGGUCAGCGGUUCGAUUCCGCUUAUGGGCUCCA
rnacentral:tRNA from 2 species